rnacentral:rRNA from 1 species
CCUACGGGUGGCAGCAGUGAGGAAUAUUGGUCAAUGGUCGGGAGACUGAACCAGCCAAGCCGCGUGAGGGAUGAAGGUACAGAGUAUCGUAAACCUCUUUUGUCAGGGAACAAAGGCGGGCACGUGUCCCCGGAUGAGUGUACCUGAAGAAAAAGCAUCGGCUAACUCCGUGCCAGCAGCCGCGGUAAUACGGAGGAUGCGAGCGUUAUCCGGAUUUAUUGGGUUUAAAGGGUGCGCAGGCGGGGUGUUAAGUCAGCGGUCAAAACCCGGGGCUCAACCCCCGGCCCGCAGUUGAACUUGGCAGUCUUGAGUAGGAGAGAAGUAUGCGGAAUGCGCGGUGUAGCGGUGAAAUGCAUAGAUAGCGCGCAGAACUCCGAUUGCGAAGGCAGCAUGCCGGAUCCACACUGACGCUGAGGCACGAAAGCGUGGGGAGCGAACAGGAGUAGAUACCCUAGUAGUC